rnacentral:rRNA from 1 species
AUGAGCGCUAGCGGCAGGCCUAACACAUGCAAGUCGAGGGAGAAGCCUUCGGGCUGAAACCGGCGCACGGGUGCGUAACGCGUAUACAAUCUGCCUUUCACAUAGGGAUAGCCCGAAGAAAUUUGGAUUAAUACCUAAUGGUAUAUAGGAGCGGCAUCGUUUUUAUAUUAAAGCUACGGUGGUGGAAGAUGAGUAUGCGUUCUAUUAGCUAGUUGGAGAGGUAACGGCUCCCCAAGGCGACGAUAGAUAGGGGUUCUGAGAGGGAUGUCCCCCACACUGGUACUGAGAUACGGACCAGACUCCUACGGGAGGCAGCAGUGAGGAAUAUUGGACAAUGGUCGGAAGACUGAUCCAGCCAUGCCGCGUGCAGGAUGAAGGUCCUAUGGAUUGUAAACUGCUUUUGUAAGGGAAGAAUAAGGGGUACGUGUACUUUGAUGACGGUACCUUACGAAUAAGCAUCGGCUAACUCCGUGCCAGCAGCCGCGGUAAUACGGAGGAUGCGAGCGUUAUCCGGAAUCAUUGGGUUUAAAGGGUCCGUAGGCGGGCUAAUAAGUCAGAGGUGAAAGCGUUCAGCUCAACUGAGCAACUGCCUUUGAAACUGUUAGUCUUGAAUGAUUGUGAAGUAGUUGGAAUGUGUAGUGUAGCGGUGAAAUGCUUAGAUAUUACACAGAACACCGAUAGCGAAGGCAUAUUACUAACAAUUUAUUGACGCUGAUGGACGAAAGCGUGGGGAGCGAACAGGAUUAGAUACCCUGGUAGUCCACGCUGUAAACGAUGGAUACUAGCUGUUUGGAGCAAUCUGAGUGGCUAAGCGAAAGUGAUAAGUAUCCCACCUGGGGAGUACG